GGACAGCUAUACACUUUAUACCAAAGGGCUGGAGAGUUGAUUUCAUAGAAUGCCUCUAAAAAUGAUUUUUUCUUCUUGAUAUGUUCAAGUGAUGGAAAUUAGGAAAUUCUGCAAGGCCCUUGCUCUGUGGUACAGUGAGUUAAGCUGCCAUUUGCAAUACCGUCCAAUAACUGGAGUGAUAUCAAGGAUUGGGCCAUCCCCUGCUGCUUUUCCAGGCCACAGGCAAGGAGCUGGAUCAGAAUAGGAGCAACUGCGACACCAAGCAGCACUCAUAGGGAAUGCUGACCCUUGAAGGCAGAGGGUUCACCUGUUCAGACACAGAGCCGGCACCCAAAUAUAGUUUUAAUAACUUAGCAUUUUCUUAGCAUUUCA